rnacentral:rRNA from 1 species
UUUCUUCUGCUUCCUCCAACCCAUGUGACGUUACCAAUCUGUUGCCUCGGCGGGAUUCUCUGCCCCGGGCGCGUCGCAGCCCCGGAUCCCAUGGCGCCCGCCGGAGGACCAACUCAAACUCUUUUUUCUCUCCGUCGCGGCCUACGUCGCGGCUCUGUUUUAUUUUUGCUCUGAGCCUUUCUCGGCGACCCUAGCGGGCGUCUCGAAAAUGAAUCAAAACUUUCAACAACGGAUCUCUUGGUUCUGGCAUCGAUGAAGAACGCAGCGAAAUGCGAUAAGUAAUGUGAAUUGCAGAAUUCAGUGAAUCAUCGAAUCUUUGAACGCACAUUGCGCCCGCCAGUAUUCUGGCGGGCAUGCCUGUCCGAGCGUCAUUUCAACCCUCGAACCCCUCCGGGGGGUCGGCGUUGGGGAUCGGCCCCUCACCGGGCCGCCCCCGAAAUACAGUGGCGGUCUCGCCGCAGCCUCUCCUGCGCAGUAGUUUGCACACUCGCACCGGGAGCGCGGCGCGGCCACAGCCGUAAAACACCCCAAACUCUGAAAUGUUGACCUCGGAUCAGGUAGGAAUACCCGCUGAACUUAAGCAUAUCAAUAAGCGGAGGAA